CCCUCUAGAGGAGCCUGUUCUGUAAUCGAUAAACCCCGAUAAACCUCACCAACCCUUGCUAAUACAGCCUAUAUACCGCCAUCUUCAGCAAACCCUAAAAAGGAAGCAUAGUAAGCAAAACCAUUAAACAUAAAAACGUUAGGUCAAGGUGUAGCCUAUGGGUUGGAAAGAAAUGGGCUACAUUUUCUAAAAUAGAACACAUACGGAAGCUCUCGGGAAACCGAGAGCAGAAGGAGGAUUUAGUAGUAAAUUAAGAAUAGAGAGCUUAAUUGAAUAAGGCCAUGAAGCAC
rnacentral:rRNA from 1 species